rnacentral:rRNA from 1 species
CAUGAAGUCGGAAUUGCUGUAAUCGCGGAUCAGCAUGCCGCGGUGAAUACGUUCCCGGGCCUUGUACACACCGCCCGUCACACCAUGGGAGCCGGUAAUACCCGAAGUCAGUAGUCCAACCACGUGAGGACGCUGCCGAAGGUAGGAUUGGCGACUGGGGUGAAGUCGUAACAAGGUAUC